rnacentral:rRNA from 1 species
GACGAACGCUGGCGGCGUGCUUAACACAUGCAAGUCGAGCGGAAGGGCCCUGCUUUUGUGGGGUGCUCGAGUGGCGAACGGGUGAGUAACACGUGAGUAACCUGCCCUUGACUUUGGGAUAACUUCAGGAAACUGGGGCUAAUACCGGAUAGGAGCUCCUGCUGCAUGGUGGGGGUUGGAAAGUUUCGGCGGUUGGGGAUGGACUCGCGGCUUAUCAGCUUGUUGGUGGGGUAGUGGCUUACCAAGGCUUUGACGGGUAGCCGGCCUGAGAGGGUGACCGGCCACAUUGGGACUGAGAUACGGCCCAGACUCCUACGGGAGGCAGCAGUGGGGAAUAUUGCACAAUGGGCGGAAGCCUGAUGCAGCAACGCCGCGUGCGGGAUGACGGCCUUCGGGUUGUAAACCGCUUUCGCCUGUGACGAAGCGUGAGUGACGGUAAUGGGUAAAGAAGCACCGGCUAACUACGUG